UGAUAGAAUUAUGACUCCUUAUGAAGGACUACACUAUUGUAACAAAAUGGGAAUAAUCUGAGGGGGAGUGGGAGUUUAAAGGAGAAUCCCAG